CUGCCCCUAAGACGAGGAUAACAGUUGGAAACGACUGCUAAGACUGGAUAGGAGACAAGAAGGCAUCUUCUUGUUUUUAAAAGACCUAGCAAUAGGUAUGCUUAGGGAGGAGCUUGCGUCACAUUAGUUAGUUGGUGGGGUAAAGGCCUACCAAGACUAUGAUGUGUAGCCGGGCUGAGAGGUUGAACGGCCACAUUGGGACUGAGACACGGCCCAAACUCCUACGGGAGGCAGCAGUAGGGAAUUUUCGGCAAUGGAGGAAACUCUGACCGAGCAACGCCCCGUGAACGAUGAAGUAUUUCGGUACGUAAAGUUCUUUUAUUAGGGAAGAAUAAAUGAUGGAAAAAUCAUUCUGACGGUACCUAAUGAAUAAGCCCCGGCUAACUAUGUGCCAGCAGCCGCGGUAAUACAUAGGGGGCAAGCGUUAUCCGGAAUUAUUGGGCGUAAAGGGUGCGUAGGCGGUUAAAUAAGUUUAUGGUCUAAGUGCAAUGCUCAACAUUGUGAUGCUAUAAAAACUGUUUAGCUAGAGUAAGAUAGAGGCAAGUGGAAUUCCAUGUGUAGUGGUAAAAUGCGUAAAUAUAUGGAGGAACACCAGUAGCGAAGGCGGCUUGCUGGGUCUUUACUGACGCUGAGGCACGAAAGCGUGGGGAGCAAACAGGAUUAGAUACCCUGGUAGUCCACGCCGUAAACGAUGAGUACUAAACGUUGGGUAAAACCAGUGUUGAAGUUAACACAUUAAGUACUCCGCCUGAGUAGUACGUACGCAAGUAUGAAACUUAAAGGAAUUGACGGGACUCCGCACAAGCGGUGGAUCAUGUUGUUUAAUUCGAAGGUACCCGAAAAACCUCACCAGGUCUUGACAUGCUUCUGCAAAGCUGUAGAAACACAGUGGAGGUUAUCAGUUGCACAGGUGGUGCAUGGUUGUCGUCAGCUCGUGUCGUGAGAUGUUGGGUUAAGUCCCGCAACGAGCGCAACCCUUAUUGUUAGUUACCAGCACGUAAUGGUGGGGACUUUAGCAAGACUGCCAGUGAUGAAUUGGAGGAAGGUGGGGACGACGUCAAAUCAUCAUGCCCCUUAUGACCUGGGCUACAAACGUGAUACAAUGGCUGUUACAAAGGGUAGCUGAAGCGCAAGUUUUUGGCGAAUCUCAAAAAAACAGUCUCAGUUCGGAUUGAAGUCUGCAACUCGACUUCAUGAAGUUGGAAUCGCUAGUAAUCGCGAAUCAGCAUGUCGCGGUGAAUACGUUCUCGGGGUUUGUACACACCGCCCGUCAAACCA
rnacentral:rRNA from 1 species